CACACGAUAUUCUCCCAAUUCUCUUCUGGAUCAUCCAUAUGCUUUCUAGCAAACCUCAGACGGGCCUGGACUUGUCCUGCCUGAAGCAGGGGGCAUGCCUGGUGCUGCAGGAUUUGAGUCUCUCUCGGUGUAGCGUGUUACUGACGGCAGGCUUUGAUACUUUGGUCCCAGCUCUCGGCAGGUCAUUCAUCAGGUCCCUCCGUGUAGUUCUGGGAUUUUUGCUCGUCGUUCUCAUAAUAAUUUUGACCCCACAGGAUGAACUCUUGCAUGGGGCCCCAGAUCAACGGUCUUGUUUGUCUUCCAUUGUCUUACAAUUGCUCCCACAGUAGAUUUAUUCACACCAACCUGCUUGCCUAUUGUAGAUUCACUCUUCCCAGCCCAGUGCAGGUAAUACAGUUUUCUUCCUGGCGUCCUUAGACAGCUCUUUGGUCUUGGUCACGAUUGAAUUUGGAGUCUGUUUGAGGCUGUGGACAGGUGUCUUUUAUACAGACAACGGAUUCAAACAGGUACCAUUACAGUUUUUCUCAAAUGCUAAAACACAAAAGCCAAUCCUCUAAACCAAAUGACCAGUUGUCUAAACACAUUUACUAAAUCUAGCCAUCAUUUUCCAAUAUCAUAAACACAUUUCACAUGAAGACACAAUUCACAAAACACAAUCCUCCAUUCACAUAAAUCUUAACACAUUUUUCCUUGCUAAAACACAAGUUGCAAAAGAACUCUGCUCAUAUUCUCAAAUGAAAGCUCAUGUGAUGCAAAAUGCUUGCCACAGUCAGCAAUAUUUGAACAAAAUGAACACACCUGGCGUCAUUCAUUACACACAACGACUCAAAAUUGAAAACACCUGUUGCUAAUGCUGUGACCACAUGUAUAAAAGCAAGUUCAGAGUGCACAGUUUGCUGAAGAUUCCAAACAAACACAAUGGAUGAAGGCAGAGUCAGGGGAAGAGGUAAUUGCAUCAGAGGAGGAAGAGGAGCAGGCCAGGGAGGAAGAGGAGCAGGCCAGGGAGGAAGAGGAGCAGGCCAGGGAGGAAGAGGAGCAGGCCAACAAGGGAGAGAAGGUCCAGGAGGGAGAGCAAGACAACCUCGUACCAUCAUUACGGACGAGAUGCGAGCAACAGUCAUUGACCAUGUCAUUGUCCAUGGCAUGACAAUGGCUGAAGCAGGACUAAGAGUCCGUCCAAACCUGAGUAGGUUCACCGUGGCCACCAUUAUCAGGGCAUUCAGACAACACAACAGGUAUUGUACUCUAUUGCUUUCUUUGUCACAAUACAAUUUUACAAGCCUGUGAAAGUGUUCUAUUACAGUAGUUUCAAAUCAGUUGUCACUGUAUUGUAAAACAUGUCAAUUGACGACACGUUUCUUUCUUUAGAGUUGAAAGAAUGCCACAUAGAGGUGGGCGGGUUGCCAUAUUUACAGCGGCACAAGAAACCCCCAUUGUGGAUAUGGUUCGUGAGAACAACCUCAUCAGACUCCGGUAGAUCAGAGACAAAGUCAUUGACGAUAAUGUGAACUUUGAGGGCAUUGAUCAUGUCAGCUUGGCCACAAUAGACCGAGUUCUCCGGCGCCAAAAGAUGCGGAUGAAACAAGUCUAUAGGGUUCCCUUUGAGCGAAACUCUGCACGACACAAAGACCUACGUUACGAGUAUGUGCAAAGGAUAUUACAGUUGGACGCGGUGGCCAGACCUCAUGAGUACCUCUUCCUGGAUGAGGCUGGCUUCAAUCUGCACAAACGAAGGCAAAGAGGCCGUAUUAUCAUUGGCCAAAGAGCCAUCACUGAGGUUCCUGGCCAACGGGGGGGGGUGUAAUAUUACUCUUUGUGCGGCUAUGGGUUUGGAGGGGCUUGUCCACCGGCAGGCUGUCCUUGGGUCUUACAACACCCAACGUCUCCUAACCUUCCUAGAGGAGCUAAAAGAUAUCCUCCUGGACCACCAACAACACCAUCCUGGGCCCGAACAUCCCAUUUAUGUGAUCAUUUGGGACAAUGUACGCUUCCACACAACAUACCAAAUCAGUGAGUGGUUCACCACCAACAGUAACCACUUUUUAAACGUCUGUCUGCCACCCUACUCCCCUUUCCUGAACCCUAUAGAGGAGUUCUUCUCAUCGUGGAGAUGGAAGGUUUAUGACAGACGACCAUACACUAGAGAAAACCUCCUAAGGGCAAUGGAGCUGGCAUGUGUUGACAUCCCAGUGGAGAACUUCCAAGGGUGGAUGCGCCAUUCCAGGGCGUUUUUCCCACGGUGCCUGGCAAGAGACAAUAUAGCCUGUGAUGUGGAUGAGGUGAUGUGACCUGAUGCAGCUCAGCGACAUGAUGCCGCACAGUGAUUGUGGUGUAAAUACUGUAAAAUGAAUAAAAAAAAA